AGCGUACACGGUGGAUGCCUAGGCAGUCAGAGGCGAUGAAGGGCGUGCUAAUCUGCGAAAAGCGUCGGUAAGGUGAUAUGAACCGUUAUAACCGGCGAUACCCGAAUGGGGAAACCCAGUGUGUUUCGACACACUAUCAUGUCAUGAAUACAUAGUGGCAUGAGGCGAACCGGGGGAACUGAAACAUCUAAGUACCCCGAGGAAAAGAAAUCAACCGAGAUUCCCCCAGUAGCGGCGAGCGAACGGGGAGGAGCCCAGAACCUGAAUCGGCUUGUGUGUUAGUGGAAGCGUCUGGAAAGUCGCGCAGCAAAGGGUGAUAGCCCCGUACACUAAAAUGCACAGGUCGUGAGUUCGAUGAGUAGGGCGGGACACGUGACAUCCUGUCUGAAUAUGGGGGGACCAUCCUCCAAGGCUAAAUACUCCUGACUGACCGAUAGUGAACCAGUACCGUGAGGGAAAGGCGAAAAGAACCCCGGCGAGGGGAGUGAAAUAGAACCUGAAACCGUGUACGUACAAGCAGUGGGAGCACCUUCGUGGUGUGACUGCGUACCUUUUGUAUAAUGGGUCAGCGACUUAUAUUUUGUAGCAAGGUUAACCGUAUAGGGGAGCCGUAGGGAAACCGAGUCUUAACUGGGCGAAUAGUUGCAAGGUAUAGACCCGAAACCCGGUGAUCUAGCCAUGGGCAGGUUGAAGGUUGGGUAACACUAACUGGAGGACCGAACCGACUAAUGUUGAAAAAUUAGCGGAUGACUUGUGGCUGGGGGUGAAAGGCCAAUCAAACCGGGAGAUAGCUGGUUCUCCCCGAAAGCUAUUUAGGUAGCGCCUCGUGAACUCAUCUUCGGGGGUAGAGCACUGUUUCGGCUAGGGGGCCAUCCCGGCUUACCAAACCGAUGCAAACUCCGAAUACCGAAGAAUGUUAUCACGGGAGACACACGGCGGGUGCUAACGUCCGUCGUGAAGAGGGAAACAACCCAGACCGCCAGCUAAGGUCCCAAAGUCAUGGUUAAGUGGGAAACGAUGUGGGAAGGCAUAGACAGCCAGGAUGUUGGCUUAGAAGCAGCCAUCAUUUAAAGAAAGCGUAAUAGCUCACUGGUCGAGUCGGCCUGCGCGGAAGAUGUAACGGGGCUAAACCAUGCACCGAAGCUGCGGCAGCGACGCUUAGGCGUUGUUGGGUAGGGGAGCGUUCUGUAAGCCGUUGAAGGUGGCCUGUGAGGGUUGCUGGAGGUAUCAGAAGUGCGAAUGCUGACAUAAGUAACGAUAAAGCGGGUGAAAAGCCCGCUCGCCGGAAGACCAAGGGUUCCUGUCCAACGUUAAUCGGGGCAGGGUGAGUCGACCCCUAAGGCGAGGCUGAAAAGCGUAGUCGAUGGGAAACAGGUUAAUAUUCCUGUACUUGGUGUUACUGCGAAGGGGGGACGGAGAAGGCUAGGCUAGCCGGGCGACGGUUGUCCCGGUUUAAGCGUGUAGGGGGUGUGACCUGGUAAAUCCGGUUGCAUAUUAACCCUGAGGCGUGAUGACGAUGCACUACGGUGCAGAAGUAGUUGAUGCCCUGCUUCCAGGAAAAUCCUCUAAGCUCCAGGUAACAUUAAAUCGUACCCCAAACCGACACAGGUGGUCAGGUAGAGAAUACCAAGGCGCUUGAGAGAACUCGGGUGAAGGAACUAGGCAAAAUGGUGCCGUAACUUCGGGAGAAGGCACGCUGGCAUGUAGGUGAAGUCCCUCGCGGAUGGAGCUGAAGCCAGUCGAAGAUACCAGCUGGCUGCAACUGUUUAAUAAAAACACAGCACUGUGCAAACACGAAAGUGGACGUAUACGGUGUGACGCCUGCCCGGUGCUGGAAGGUUAAUUGAUGGGGUCAGCCGCAAGGCGAAGCUCUUGAUCGAAGCCCCAGUAAACGGCGGCCGUAACUAUAACGGUCCUAAGGUAGCGAAAUUCCUUGUCGGGUAAGUUCCGACCUGCACGAAUGGCGUAAUGAUGGCCAGGCUGUCUCCACCCGAGACUCAGUGAAAUUGAACUCGCUGUGAAGAUGCAGUGUACCCGCGGCAAGACGGAAAGACCCCGUGAACCUUUACUAUAGCUUGACACUGAACAUUGAGCCUUGAUGUGUAGGAUAGGUGGGAGGCUUUGAAGCGUGGACGCCAGUCUGCGUGGAGCCAUCCUUGAAAUACCACCCUUUAAUGUUUGAUGUUCUAACUCGGCCCCAUAAUCUGGGGUGAGGACAGUGUCUGGUGGGUAGUUUGACUGGGGCGGUCUCCUCCCAAAGAGUAACGGAGGAGCACGAAGGUUAGCUAAUCACGGUCGGACAUCGUGAGGUUAGUGCAAAGGCAUAAGCUAGCUUGACUGCGAGAGUGACGGCUCGAGCAGGUACGAAAGUAGGUCUUAGUGAUCCGGUGGUUCUGAAUGGAAGGGCCAUCGCUCAACGGAUAAAAGGUACUCCGGGGAUAACAGGCUGAUACCGCCCAAGAGUUCAUAUCGACGGCGGUGUUUGGCACCUCGAUGUCGGCUCAUCACAUCCUGGGGCUGAAGUAGGUCCCAAGGGUAUGGCUGUUCGCCAUUUAAAGUGGUACGCGAGCUGGGUUUAGAACGUCGUGAGACAGUUCGGUCCCUAUCUGCCGUGGGCGUUGGAAGAUUGAGAGGGGUUGCUCCUAGUACGAGAGGACCGGAGUGAACGCACCACUGGUGUUCGGGUUGUCAUGCCAAUGGCAUUGCCCGGUAGCUAAGUGCGGAAAAGAUAAGCGCUGAAAGCAUCUAAGCGCGAAACUUGCCUCAAGAUGAGUCUUCCCUGGGCCUUUAAGGCCCCUGAAGGAACGUUUAAGACUAAGACGUUGA
rnacentral:rRNA from 1 species